UUUUACUAAAGAAGAAACAUUCAAACAGAGAUGGUCACUACUCAAGAGAUCGUGAACAGACAUUGUGUUAUAGGGGAUAAACAUUAUUAACAUCACUUUAUUUGGUUAUAAUUUUCAAAUUUUGACCAAGACCAUAUAGUACAGUGAAUAGGAACAGAUAAAGGGACACUCAGCGUGAAUAUUUCUGAGCAAUAGUCUCCAGGCUAAUCUCUGUCAUUUCAGCUUCCUGCUCCUUGGGAGUUUAUGGUACACUCAGGUUGUGGUUGAAACACUAUGCACUUGUCUAGCACAGUAAUAGUCAUCAGAGGCUUCAGAUGUCAUGCUGCUGAGCUGCAUGUAGGCUGUGCUGGCUGAAUUGUCUAUAGUCAAUGUGGCCUUGCCUUUGAACUUCUUGGCAUAGCUAGUAAGACCAUUUCCAGGAUAAAUAUAUCAAAUCCACUCUAGGCUAUCUCCAUGACUCUGCUUUAAUCAAUGCAUAUAGUAGUUAGUGAAUGUGUAGCCAGAAGCCUUGCAGAACAUCUUCACUGAGGCACCAGUCCGCCCCACCUCAGAUCCAGACUGAGGAAGCUGGACCUGGGAGUAGAUACCUGUAGAUGCUGCCCAUAGAAAGAGGAUACAGCUCCAUUCCAUGGUGAGGGUCAGAGUGUUCAGUAACUGUGGAGAAGGAACUGAUUAUAUGUUGUGUUGGCUGUGGAUAUCUCUUUAUGAGACAACCAUAAAUUUGUGUAAUUUGCAUAUUUAUAAACCAUGAACUUGUUAGAUAAGAAUCUAGUCCAGGUAGAAAAGAAGGAGACAGAGAACACUUGGGUCAGACAGCAGGGUGCUAAGAUCCAUGUCCUAAUCUUCUCUGAAGAAAUGCAUCCCUUGCUCCUUCCCUGAGCCCUCUGCAGAUGUGUGCAUGUCAUGUGACAUCAGGACCUAAGCUCUCAAAGGAUUUCUGACCUGACCUGAGAUUGUUCCACUUUGGGACAAAGCUAUCAGAUGAAUUUAUAGGAGGAGUUUUUGAUACAUUUAGUAACUGGAAAUUUCAAAACUUACUAAGUUAUGGGAAUUUGCAGCAUCUUUGAUAGACAUAAAAUGAAUAUUUGCCUAUACAUACAGUUUG
rnacentral:lncRNA from 1 species